rnacentral:piRNA from 1 species
UACUUGCCUAGAAACUCAUGGGUUCUGUGUC